GAUGAACGCUGGCGGCGUGCCUAAUACAUGCAAGUCGAGCGAACAGACGAGGAGCUUGCUCCUCUGACGUUAGCGGCGGACGGGUGAGUAACACGUGGAUAACCUACCUAUAAGACUGGGAUAACUUCGGGAAACCGGAGCUAAUACCGGAUAAUAUAUUGAACCGCAUGGUUCAAUAGUGAAAGACGGUUUUGCUGUCACUUAUAGAUGGAUCCGCGCCGCAUUAGCUAGUUGGUAAGGUAACGGCUUACCACGGCAACGAUGCGUAGCCGACCUGAGAGGGUGAUCGGCCACACGGGAACUGAGACACGGUCCAGACUCCUACGGGAGGCAGCAGGAGGGAAUCUUCCGCAAUGGGCGAAAGCCUGACGGAGCAACGCCGCGUGAGUGAUGAAGGUCUUCGGAUCGUAAAACUCUGUUAUUAGGGAAGAACAAAUGUGUAAGUAACUAUGCACGUCUUGACGGUACCUAAUCAGAAAGCCACGGCUAACUACGUG
rnacentral:rRNA from 1 species